rnacentral:rRNA from 1 species
UACAGAGGUCCCAAGCGUUGUUCGGAUUCACUGGGCGUAAAGGGUGCGUAGGCGGUCGGGUAAGUCUGAUGUGAAAUCUCCGGGCUCAACCCGGAAAUGGCAUUGGAUACUAUUCGGCUCGAGGUCUGGAGGGGGGACUGGAAUACUUGGUGUAGCAGUGAAAUGCGCAGAUAUCAGGAGGAACACCGGUGGCGAAGGCGGGUCUCUGGGCCGAUACUGACGCUGAGGAGCGAAAGCGUGGGGAGCAAACAGG